GGGGAUGACUGGCUUCGACGGUUGAGGCUGGUUGCACAUUGCGAGCCGAGAGGCGCCGACCUCGUUAACUCAGCGCAAACUUUAAGUGCCAAAAGCACUGACUACGCAGCUCUGCCGCUCGCCGCGUAACACCGGUUAGCUAAGAACUGUCCGGCUCCUCGAGAGCCGCGUCUGCCCCGCCCUCCCUCCGGCUGGGUGGGAGCAGGCGAGACAAUGCCGGAGUGCCGCGCCCGACCCCGUUACCGGCGCGAAAGACCUAACGGGUGGCCGCGUGAGCCCCCUUGUCGUUUGUGGGUCACGCGGUGACAAACACAACCGACUACGCUCGUAGACGUGUGCAAACCUAAUCAGUCGGACGCGGGUUCGAUUCCCGCCAUCUCCACCU
rnacentral:tmRNA from 1 species